AUUGAACGCUGGCGGAAUGCUUUACACAUGCAAGUCGAACGGCAGCAUAGGUGCUUGCACCUGAUGGCGAGUGGCGAACGGGUGAGUAAUACAUCGGAACGUGCCCAGUCGUGGGGGAUAACGUAGCGAAAGUUACGCUAAUACCGCAUACGAUCUACGGAUGAAAGCGGGGGACCGUAAGGCCUCGCGCGGUUGGAGCGGCCGAUGUCGGAUUAGGUAGUUGGUGGGGUAAAGGCCCACCAAGCCAACGAUCUGUAGCUGGUCUGAGAGGACGACCAGCCACACUGGGACUGAGACACGGCCCAGACUCCUACGGGAGGCAGCAGUGGGGAAUUUUGGACAAUGGGCGCAAGCCUGAUCCGGCCAUUCCGCGUGCAGGAUGAAGGCCUUCGGGUUGUAAACUGCUUUUGUACGGAACGAAAAGCUCUGGGUUAAUACCCCGGGGUCAUGACGGUACCGUAAGAAUAAGCACCGGCUAACUACGUGCCAGCCGCCGCCGUAA
rnacentral:rRNA from 1 species